UCCCUGGAGGACUAGUGGUUAGGCUUUGGCGCUCUCACCACUGUGGUCUAGGUUCGAUUCCAGGCUAGGGAA
rnacentral:tRNA from 1 species